rnacentral:rRNA from 1 species
UACGUAGGGUGCGAGCGUUGCCCGGAUUUAUUGGGCGUAAAGGGCGCGUAGGCGGCUCGGCACGUCCGUUGUGAAAUCGCCCGGCUCAACUGGGCGGGGUCAGCGGAUACGGUCGAGCUUGAGCAAGCUAGGGGGUAAUGGAAUUCCCGGUGUAGUGGUGGAAUGCGUAGAUAUCGGGAGGAACACCAGUGGCGAAGGCGGUUACCUGGGGCUUUGCUGACGCUGAGGCGCGAAAGCGUGGGGAGCGAUCCGG